CAAAUGCUGGGAAUGGGGAUGGAGCAGAGGAUGGAGGGAGAUGCGGAGAAACUUCAGCGCGGCAAGUGCCUUUGUUUCCCGUUACCUGCUGAGUCUAGUCCCGUCCAGGGCACACAGUGGGCGCUUAGUAACUGUAGAAAGAAAUCGAACAAAAUCGGAAGGGGGAGAGGCAGAGGCCACAAUCAAGACACGGAAGAGACAGUCAGUCGAGGCAGCAGAGAGGGUGCCACGCGGCCAGCGGAGACGCAGGGCAGCUGCGGAGGGACCUUGCUACGGGGCGGAGAGGCCGCGCUCCCCACCAGCGCGGCGUGAGGGCGCCAGGCCAGACACAAGGAUACAAGAGCAGAGUUGCUGAAGCCAUCUUGGAGUAUCAGGUCUCCCUGAUUCUUCUGAAUCCUCCCAGAGAGCCACCACAGAUCUGGGCAUUGUGAUCAACAUUCAGUGGCAAGCCUGGAGGGGCAAUGCUUGCCUCCCAUCGUAUGGCAGGCCAGAUAUGUUCCUGGCCCAUCAGAAGCCUUCUUCUGGAUGCAGUCUAUAAGCCACUGUGAUGGAUGAGAAGAGCCCAGGAUGGAGAUGAAAGUCUGGAACCAGAAUCUGAGCCCUUAUUUUUCUGACUCACUGUUUUACCUUGGAAGAAUCAUUGAAGUUUUCUGCAUCUCUGUUUCCUCAUAUGUUUAAAAAAGAAAGCACUUAACCUUGGUGGUUAUGAAAAAUAAAUGAAAUAAUUUCUAGAAGAGUGCCUAGUUU
rnacentral:lncRNA from 1 species